rnacentral:rRNA from 1 species
AUUGAACGCUGGCGGCAGGCCUAACACAUGCAAGUCGAGCGAGCGGCGGACGGGUGAGUAAUGUCUGGGAAACUGCCUGAUGGAGGGGGAUAACUACUGGAAACGGUAGCUAAUACCGCAUACCAUCAGAUGUGCCCAGAGGGGAUUAGCUAGUAGGUGGGGUAAUGGCUCACCUAGGCGACGAUCCCUAGCGUGGCUGAGAGGUUGACCAGCCACACUGGAACGGAGACACGGUCCAGACGCCUACGGUAGGCAGCAGUGGGGAAUCUUGCACAAGUGGCGCAAGCCUGAUGCAGCCAUGCCGCGUGUGUGAAGAAGGCCUUCGGGUUGUAAAGCACUUUCAGCGGGGAGGCGUUACCCGCAGAAGAAGCACCGGCUAACUCCGUGCCAGCAGCCGCGGUAAUUC